UAUGACAUGUGAAAUCAUUAAAUAUUUUGCUUCUCUCAUUUCACUUUUUUCCUUUAUUAAAAUCUCCAACGAUUUUUUAAAAACUUAUUACGACUUUACCUUUAAGUUUCUUCAACGCCGCUUCAUGACGGUUACCAAAAGGAGUCAUCGAACUUAAAUUAUCUCUAUUAUAUAAGUGAAUAGCUGAGGUUAUUUUCGGAAAAUCACUUUUGGUGUGCCCCUGGGAAUAGCCCAUUAAACCCUUCGUAAUUGAAAAGUAAAUUAUUAAAAAAAACGGCUAUCCUAAUUAAUCAACUUUCGAAUCUCCGCAAACCCAAUCUCUCUCUCCUUAGAAAACCCUCAAUCUCUCUCUCCUCCAUACCCAACAGCACGGUUGAUCUCAGAAGCUCUGAUUUUAGGGUGGUAUUUGUGGAGCCAGAACGCGGCGGUAUAAAACCUUUUUUGUCGGAUUUACCAGUGCCACGAACGCCACGGAGGUUGCAGAUGAGUUUGAGGGUGGUCAACGGGUUGUGGGCCAAAGCCAGAUUGAGGCGUUCGGUGAGAGACUCGGCAGGGGUGUCGGGGACGACUUGGAAGAAGAGGUCUAGACACGGGUUUCAAGGUGGUGAGAAAGGUGGUGGAGCCGUUUUCAGUGAAGCCCAUUAAUGUUGGUUGUGGAGUAUAUGGGUGUUGAAAUUCACCACCAUGAGAUCCAAGGAUAGGUCGCCAGAUGGGUGGUAAUGGCGGCGAAGGUGGUGGAAGAUGGUGGUGGGGUUGAGAGUUGUGGUGGGCCAGAGAGGAAUGGUGCCAUUGUAAUUUGUAAUACAGGAAAAGUGGUGCAAUUUUGCCUAAUAUCAACACCUCUACUCCAACUUUUAGGGUGGUGUUUCUAGAUCUCAUGGUGGCGAUUACCUCAAACCUUUCUGCACAAAAUAAUCAAAGUUGAACACUCGAAGUCUCGAACAGUCGAACCCAGACGCUUUCAGAGUGGCUACUCUGAUCAACAGCCCCGACAAGUAAUUUCAACCUAAAAUCCAUUCACAAAUUCACCCCUAGUUGCAGAAACUAAUGUUGUUCAAUUAAAAAUUUACAAUGUCGCAAGUUGAAAUUAUAGCCAAAAGUUUCAAAGACAUGGUUGCAUCUUUGCCUGCCGUCAAGAUCGAUAUGCUUUACGCUAACCCCUUCAUAUGUGAAGCCAUUCUCAGGUUCGAUUAAGGAGCUCAAGUGCUCAAGUCAAAGAUGUUACUGGAGUCAGUAAUUCAUUUUGGAGAUAUUGAGAUGAGAAAUUAUUUAUUAUGGAAAUUCGGUUAUUGAGAUUAUUAUAAGAGUAUUGACUUAUAUUUAUUUUGGGAAUAUUGUAUUAUUUGUGGAAUGUUAUUGAGGAUUAUUUUAUUUGUGGGCCCAUACCCACAGGUCCCAAGAUUA